AUGAUAACUGCCUUGCAGCUUUACUGUGCCGCUGCUAGGUUUGUGGUUUUGCUUGCAGUUGGAUGAUUGGCACAGCAUUCCCCGACAAGUGAUCUUUCUUCUUAGAUUUUCAAGCUUUUUACUUCGGGUUCUUGAUUCAGUUUCAUUUAUAGCCUAAUUUACACACUGAUAUGAUCGUGGGCAGUCAUAAGUUCUAUCCGCUGUUGUAUUAUUAUCGUAUCUUUUAACGGUAUGUAUGAGUCACUGAGUCGGUGUUAUUAUUUUAGUCUGGUACUAUCUGAUCUGGUUUGAUCUUCUUACCUUAGCUCCUGUUAUAUUACUUGAAGUCUUAUUACUUGACUUCAGAUGCCAUUUGGACAUGUUCGGUUUUUGUUAUGGGUGGAUGGUCAUUUGAGGUUAGUUUGGUGGGUGAAGUUUAGGCCAAGGGCCUUUGGGUUGACUAUAUUGACGUCUAUUAUUAGCUUAGAUUUUAUUGACUUUUAAGAGAGACCCGUCUUGUCUUCUUCUUGAUAAAUGCUAGAAUGCUCAAGGGGAUCGCUGAUGCUGUAUAGGAUUCUCCUGAUUCAUCUGGUCACUGGUGACAAUUUUAAGCAAGCGUUUUUGUUCAUUUUGUUUACCUUUACGUGGCAAUACAAUGGUUGUUCAUGAUUCAGUUUACUCUUAGUGGUGUUGGAGGCAUUAUAGUUCUGAUGGAGAGCACAAGCUACCUAUUUUCUUGAUUGUCUAUGCAGGUUCUUUUUUUAUUAUGAUUUUAUUAUGGGGUCAACGCCACUGUAUAUAUUUGUGUUUCUUCUGCUAUUAUAGUGCCUUUUUAACAUCCAAACGCUCAAUGGCUUUCAUCGCUCGUCACUGCCAGCUUCUGUAAUAUCUUUUAAGAUUUGCUUUUAACAUAUUUAUUUAUUAGUCUCUUACUUAGCAAGUGUGGAUAGGAGUGUAGGACUCAUUUCUUUUGUUGCUUGUAAAACCAGAUAGAAUAUUGGACAACAAGGUUAUGUUCUACUGAUUUGUCUUCAGUCUUCUCUGUUCUCUCUACUGGGUCUUGUUCUCAGUGUACCAUAUCUGCUACUUUGAUCCAUGGUUCUGUUAGUGAGGUGCUAAACAUUGUUGUCCAAUAACCAACUCCGGGUUCUUCUCUAAUUCUUAAUAGCAACUUUCUGGUUACCAGUAUUAUUUUUGUCCUUCUAUCAUCAUGAGGAACUUGCAGAAGGAACUUUGUGGUACUGUGUAUAUGUUUUGCAGAACGAGAAUUAGGGAACUCCUUAUUUUGAUUAGUUUCAUCUCAUUAGUUACUGUCCUUUUAUCGGCCUUUGGAGGCAAAUAACUGCAGUUUCUUUAUGGGCUUGUCAACAUUUAUUGUGCCUGGAUGAUCAUUUCAGCUGACAUAAGCAUAUACGGAUAAUCCAAUCUUUUUUAUGGCUGUA
rnacentral:lncRNA from 1 species